rnacentral:lncRNA from 1 species
AUAAAUGCAGCUGUGAUGAAGUGUAUAAAGUGGGGAAAAAAAAAAAAAGAAAUGUCAAGGAAAUUCUGUCAGAAUUGUAAUUUCACUAUUCCACGUUUAUUAAACGUAUAGUGAUACGAGAAUUCCACGAGGAUGGUUGCAAAAACAAUAAAAAACAGUAAAGAAACAAAGAUGUGACUGGGAUUUAGAAAGUAUUAUUCCAAACUAUUUACACUUGCUGCUAAACAUAUACAUAUGAUGAUCCUGCACAGUGAAUCUUAGCAUGGAUAUAAGUCUUGUCUCCUUUGGCUUGGAGACAUUUUUUACUCACUGUCUAAGUAACCUUUCAAAGAACCAGAAGGAUCUUCUAGAACUUUGAGAUGUUCAGUUUUACUCAAAUUAUUUGUUUUUUCCUUGUUAGGAACUACAGUGUGUUUUUGUUUGUUUGUUUGUUUGUUUCUUCAUACAAAUUAAGGGUUCUUUGGAACAGUGGGACUAACUGUACUUAGAAACUCUCCCAAGGCAAAUUCUGUAUCUUCCACCAUCUGCAGUCUUUUCACAGCAGUCAGUAAUCAAGAAUCACAUCAGUCAUCUUGUCUCCUUUGUAAAGACCAGUGGAAUAUCCAGAGUAGCAUGGGGUAUGGAUAAAACAGCACUUGUUGCUGUGCUUCCAAAGAUAACAUAAUAGUUUUAUGAGUGAUGCAGACCAGAGAAAAUGAAGUAAUUGUAGGUCCAGUAAAGGCAAAUCUGUUUAGGCAUUACCUUUUCAUUAUUCUAGUCUUAUUCUCUGAGAAGGCUGAUUAAUGUCUCUGAUGAAAGAAUGGAGAAGAAAUAUAGGAACAGAGAUCCUCCCAAGAUGCCUGUAAGUAAAAGUGCAGAACCAAGAAGCCAGAGGACUUCAGGAGCAGUAGAAGCAAGCUGUUCAGUUGUAAAUGGAAGGGACAUGGUAUGUAAAAGCCCCCAGGCUUUUGCUGAUGCUGUGAGAAAAUCAAAGGAUAGCACAUGGAAAUGAGAAUGUAGUAAAGAACAGCUAUCAUAUUCACGCCUCUUAAACUGUGUUUUUGUAUUUCUUUAGAUGGAGAUAUUUUUAAGGUUAUUCACAGAAAAACAUUAGUAAAAGAAAUCCUUUGUGCAAAAGUAAUAAUUUAGCUGCAGAUUACAGUGCUUUUACACAAAUUAUUUUCUUUUUAAUACCAGGGUUUUAUAAGUUGCCUGUCUCUGCAAAGGCAGAUUCUGUAGUUGUUCCUGGGGGACUGGUUAGGCAUUGUGUCUGGGGAUUUUUUGGUCAAACAUUUCGCAAAGCUGUCACUUGAAAUCUACCAAUAGGUGCAAUAUGAAUCGGGUGUGUAAUAAAUCACGGAUGUAUGCAUGAGUCUGUAAAGCA